CAGUCGAGCGGUAGAGAGAAGCUUGCUUCUCUUGAGAGCGGCGGACGGGUGAGUAAUGCCUAGGAAUCUGCCUGGUAGUGGGGGAUAACGUUCGGAAACGGACGCUAAUACCGCAUACGUCCUACGGGAGAAAGCAGGGGACCUUCGGGCCUUGCGCUAUCAGAUGAGCCUAGGUCGGAUUAGCUAGUUGGUGGGGUAAUGGCUCACCAAGGCGACGAUCCGUAACUGGUCUGAGAGGAUGAUCAGUCACACUGGAACUGAGACACGGUCCAGACUCCUACGGGAGGCAGCAGUGGGGAAUAUUGGACAAUGGGCGAAAGCCUGAUCCAGCCAUGCCGCGUGUGUGAAGAAGGUCUUCGGAUUGUAAAGCACUUUAAGUUGGGAGGAAGGGCAGUAAAUUAAUACUUUGCUGUUUUGACGUUACCGACAGAAUAAGCACCGGCUAACUCUGUGCCAGCAGCCGCGGUAAUACAGAGGGUGCAAGCGUUAGUCGGAAUUACUGGGCGUAAAGCGCGCGUAGGUGGUUAGUUAAGUUGGAUGUGAAAUCCCCGGGCUCAACCUGGGAACUGCAUUCAAAACUGACUGACUAGAGUAUGGUAGAGGGUGGUGGAAUUUCCUGUGUAGCGGUGAAAUGCGUAGAUAUAGGAAGGAACACCAGUGGCGAAGGCGACCACCUGGACUGAUACUGACACUGAGGUGCGAAAGCGUGGGGAGCAAACAGGA
rnacentral:rRNA from 1 species